rnacentral:rRNA from 1 species
GUGGUACGCGAGCUGGGUUUAGAACGUCGUGAGACAGUUCGGUCCCUAUCUGCCGUGGGCGCUGGAGAACUGAGGGGGGCUGCUCCUAGUACGAGAGGACCGGAGUGGACGCAUCACUGGUGUUCGGGUUGUCAUGCCAAUGGCACUGCCCGGUAGCUAAAUGCGGAAGAGAUAAGUGCUGAAAGCAUCUAAGCACGAAACUUGCCCCGAGAUGAGUUCUCCCUGAGACUUAAAGUCUCCUGAAGGAACGUUGAAGACGACGACGUUGAUAGGCCGGGUGUGUAAGCGCAGCGAUGCGUUGAGCUAACCGGUACUAAUGAACCGUGAGGCUUAACCUU